UCUAUGCUUUCCUAAAAAAUAAUUGACGUUUUAAUACUGGUGUCAAUUUUAUAUAUUUUUGUUCAUCCAAAAAUUUCAAAAUAUUGUAUAGUUGUAGAUCUCAAAAAAAUACCCCUUAAGUAUUUUAUAUAUAAAUAUUGUUCAAUGUUAUAUGCUCUCCUCUUCAAUAAUUAUUGAAGUUUUAAUAUAGGUAUUGUGUAUAUAAAUCUUUAUAUAUUCCAUCCGUCAAUUCCCUAAUUUCACAUAGAUAUAUAUACAUAUAUAUAUAUAUAUAUAUAUAUAUAUAUAUAUAUAUAUAUAUAUAUAUAUAUAUAUAUAUAUCAAUAUUGCCUUAAGUAUAUUGUGUAUAUAAAUAUUGUUGUAUGUUAUACGCUCUCCUCAAUAAUAAUUGAAGACUUAAUUAAGCUAUGCGUAUAUAUAUAUAUAUAUAUAUAUAUAAAUAUAUACCUCAAAAUUUUUACGACUGAAAUGUCUACAUUGGGGACUUUUCAAACAACACAAUUCUUAGAGUAAACCUUAGGAUUAAUAAAAAAACGGUACAUUUGCUUAACAUUAUCCAACCAACACUUUGCCUGUACGUGAAAUAAUAAAAUUUUUAUAUUAUCUUAAAGUUGGUCUACUUUAUGCUGAGAGGAUUUUUCGGUAACAUAGAUUUUAAAUGCAUUUUCUGACAUCUGCUUAACUACGAUGCAAUUCGAUUAGAGUUAUUUGGAAUAUAUUUGAUUAUUUAAAAAGAAUAAAACACAUUUCGAACUCUAGUAUUCCCAAAAUAUAUGUUUUUUACUUAAAUGUUUAUAUCCUCAUUUGGUCGAUGUGGCAUCUCCACGAAGUGAAACACCACAACUUAGGGUGCCAAACAUCUAACGUACUUUAUGAGGACUCGGUUCUCGAAAAUCUCUUAGUAUAUAACAUACAAAUUUUUCGAGUAAUGUACGCGGGGUUGCCAGAUGCAGAUAUUUUUGGAUAAGCAACGUGUAUUAUAAGGACACAGGAACGAUGAGAUUUGGUCCAGUUCACACCUUAAUUUAGUAAAUAACAAUCAAAUGGCUGUCCCCAAAUAACAUACUGAGGAAGAUGCAAAUAUUUUAUAUAUAUAGCGAUUAUAUAGAGGGUAUGAGGACACAGGAACGGUGAAAUACAACAAAACUCGAAUGUAAGUAUAACGCCUAUAAAACUAAGCAAUAUUUUAUUAAAUCUAUUUGGGGUAAGUCGAACAUUGGAUGACCCAUUCCGUGUUUGUCGUCAACAAAACUGGGAAGUGGCAAUUGCUACGAACUGCCGACCAAAGCUGUAAUUUGGUACCACGGGUAACCAGGAGCCCACGGAACUCGUUCCGUCCUGGUUAAUUGUUGUGGCCCUUCGGGGAGUAAUGUGGUGGCUGUGGUUCGAUACCCAAUUGUGGGGAGAGUUUUCACUCGGAGUGGAGUUGCGUGUCAACCGGGUGCUGUACCCAUAGACCAGCGGAGGUAUAGAUAGAUCUCACCUCCCACCAAGGGGGAAUGUCAUGUUCGACAAGCAUGCAUUCAAUUUGGUAACGAAGGGGCACUGCACAUGCAGUGUCUUGGAGGGGCGCUAUUCCGACGCUUUGUUUCGGCUCGCUGUAUUUCGAAUACCGUGGUAGUAAAUCCCUACGGGGUACACGCCACGUUAAACAAAUAUGUUUUGUUUAGUCCCUAUCUACGAUCUAGCGAAACCACAGCCCAGGGAACGGGCUUGGAAUAAUUAGCGGGGAAAGAAGACCCUUUUGAGCUUGACUCUAAUCUGGCAGUGUAAGGAGACAUAAGAGGUGUAGAAUAAGUGGGAGAUAUUCGACUUCGGUUUGGUAUCGACAAUGAAAUACCACUACUCUUAUUGUUUCCUUACUUACUUGAUUAAAUGGAACGUGUAUCAUUUCCUAGCCAUUAUACGGAUAUAAUUAUUAUGUCUUAUGGUAUUGGGUUUUGAUGCAAGCUUCUUGAUCAAAGUAUCACGAGUUUGUUAUAUAAUCGCAAACAAAUUCUUUAAUGAGAGAAUGCAUUUAUGUAUUAUUGAUUUAAAAAUUUGGUAUAACUUCAAUUACUCAGGUAUGAUCCAAUUCAAGGACAUUGCCAGGUAGGGAGUUUGACUGGGGCGGUACAUCUCUCAAAUAAUAACGGAGGUGUCCCAAGGCCAGCUCAGUGCGGACAGAAACCACAUAUAGGUUCGGUUUGGUAUCGACAAUGAAAUACCACUACUCUUAUUGUUUCCUUACUUACUUGAUUAAAUGGAACGUGUAUCAUUUCCUAGCCAUUAUACGGAUAUAAUUAUUAUGUCUUAUGGUAUUGAGUUUCGAUGCAAGCUUCUUGAUCAAAGUAUCACGAGUUUGUUAUAUAAUCGCAAACAAAUUCUUUAAUGAGAGAAUGCAUUUAUGUAUUAUUGAUUUAAAAAUUUGGUAUAACUCCAAUUACUCAGGUAUGAUCCAAUUCAAGGACAUUGCCAGGUAGGGAGUUUGACUGGGGCGGUACAUCUCUCAAAUAAUAACGGAGGUGUCCCAAGGCCAGCUCAGUGCGGACAGAAACCACACAUAGAGCAAAAAGGCAAAUGCUGACUUGAUCUCGGUGUUCAGUACACACAGGGACAGCAAAAGCUCGGCCUAUCUAUCCUUUUGGUUUAAAGAGUUUUUAACAAGAGGUGUCAGAAAAGUUACCAUAGGGAUAACUGGCUUGUGGCGGCCAAGCGUUCAUAGCGACGUCGCUUUUUGAUCCUUCGAUGUCGGCUCUUCCCAUAAUUGUGAGGCAAACUUCACCAAGCGUUGGAUUGUUCACCCAUGCAAGGGAACGUGAGCUGGGUUUAGACCGUCGUGAGACAGGUUAGUUUUACCCUACUAAUGACAAAACGUUGUUGCGACAGCAUUCCUUCCAAUGGCACAAUACUUGUUCGAGCGAACAGUGGUAUGACGCUACGUCCGUUGGAUUAUGCCUGAACGCCUCUAAGGUCGUAUCCGUGCUGGACUGCAAUGAUAAAUAAGGGGCAAUUUGCAUUGUAUGGCUUCUAAACCAUUAAAAGUUUUUAAUUUGUUUUAUUAACGACAAUGGAUGUGAUGCCAAUGUUAUUUAUAACAUAGUAAAUUGGGAGGAUCUUCGAUCACCUGAUGCCGCGCUAGUUAUAUUUUAAAACAUUAUUU
rnacentral:rRNA from 1 species